rnacentral:rRNA from 1 species
UACGAAGGGGGCUAGCGUUGCUCGGAAUCACUGGGCGUAAAGCGCACGUAGGCGGAUUGUUAAGUCAGGGGUGGAAUCCUGGAGCUCAACUCCAGAACUGCCUUUGAUACUGGCGAUCUUGAGUCCGGGAGAGGUGAGUGGAACUGCGAGUGUAGGGGUGAAAUUCGUAGAUAUUCGCAAGAACACCAGUGGCGAAGGCGGCUCACUGGCCCGGUACUGACGCUGAGGUGCGAAAGCGUGGGGAGCAAACAGG